rnacentral:rRNA from 1 species
UACAGAGGGUGCGAGCGUUGUCCGGAAUCACUGGGCGUAAAGGGCGCGUAGGCGGCUUGUCGCGUCUGUUGUGAAAGCCCGGGGCUUAACCCCGGGUCUGCAGUGGAUACGGGCAGGCUAGAGGCAGGUAGGGGAGAACGGAAUUCCCGGUGUAGCGGUGAAAUGCGCAGAUAUCGGGAGGAACACCGGUGGCGAAGGCGGUUCUCUGGGCCUGUACUGACGCUGAGGAGCGAAAGCGUGGGGAGCGAACAGG